GACGAACGCUGGCGGCGUGCUUAACACAUGCAAGUCGAACGGAAAGGCCCUGCUUUUGUGGGGUGCUCGAGUGGCGAACGGGUGAGUAACACGUGAGUAACCUGCCCUUGACUUUGGGAUAACUUCAGGAAACUGGGGCUAAUACCGGAUAGGAGCUCCUGUUGCAUGGUGGGGGUUGGAAAGUUUCGGCGGUUGGGGAUGGACUCGCGGCUUAUCAGCUUGUUGGUGGGGGAGUGGCUUACCAAGGCUUUGAAGGGUAGCCGGCCUGAGAGGGUGACCGGCCACAUUGGGACUGAGGUACGGCCCAGACUCCUACGGGAGGCAGCAGUGGGGAAUAUUGCACAAUGGGCGGAAGCCUGAUGCAGCAACGCCGCGUGCGGGAUGACGGCCUUCGGGUUGUAAACCGCUUUCGCCUGUGACGAAGCGUGAGUGACGGUAAUGGGUAAAGAAGCACCGGCUAACUACGUG
rnacentral:rRNA from 1 species